rnacentral:rRNA from 1 species
UACGAAGGGGGCUAGCGUUGCUCGGAAUUACUGGGCGUAAAGCGCGCGUAGGCGGCUUUGCAAGUCGGGUGUGAAAUCCCCAGGCUUAACCUGGGAACUGCAUUCGAGACUGCAUUGCUAGAGUAUGGGAGAGGGAAGUGGAAUUUCCGGUGUAGCGGUGAAAUGCGUAGAUAUCGGAAGGAACAUCAGUGGCGAAAGCGACUUCCUGGACCAAUACUGACGCUCAUAUGCGAAAGCGUGGGGAGCAAACAGG